GUUAUAAAUUAGUAGAGUAAUAUAAACGUCUAAUAACGCUUAUAUGUAUCACUACUGUCCGUUUUCAGCACUGGAUAUAUUUAUUUUGAUAUAUUUAUAUAAUCUAAUAUUUUAUAUUGUGAUGUAUAUUUUUAAAAACAAAUUGGCGCGCAAGACGAACCGCGCAUGCGCAUGAAGAAACGUUCCAGAUACAUUCCACGCGGUGAGAUCCAAACCGCGUUAGUAACAUCUUUGAAGGUUUCAUGAAAUUCAGUCUGGCUCGAUCUGCUUGGUAGCAAUGGUCCAGGUGAUGCUGUAAGGAAGGUUUUGCAAGUUGCCACAUACAAUGGAUCGAAAGGGAAAGAAAUACCUUUGGCACUGUGAUUAUUCUGUAGACCGUCUCAAUCUGAUGUUCCAGCUGUGAUGCCUUCAUUGCAGAAACCUUAAAGUAUGUUCCACAUCGAGGAACAAGGGAAAUCUGAGACGGACAGGUCCAAUUCCAAUUUGGAGGGAUGCUCAUCCCACCAUUCAUCCGCCUGAUGCCCAUCCUCAUGCUGCUAAAUUGAUGACUGCUCACAUAUACUCACCGGCCACCUUAUUAGGUACAGCUUACUAGUACCGGGUUGGACCCCCUUUUGCCUUCAGAACUGCCUUAAUCCUUCGUGGCAUAGAUUCAACGAGGUACUGGAAAAAUUCCUCAGAGGUUUUGGUCCAUAUUCACAUGAUACCAUCAUGCAGUUGCUGUAGAUACGUUGGCUACACAUCCAUGAAGCGAAUCUCCAGUUCCACCACAUCCCAAAGGUGCUCUAUUGGGUUGAGAUCUGGUGACUGUGGAGGCCAUUUAAGUACAGUGAACUCACUGUCAUGUUCAAGAAACCAGUCUGAGAUUAUUUAUUCUGCCGGAAGUAGACAUCCGAAGAUGGGUACACUGUGGUCAUAAAGGGAUGUACAUGGUCAGAAUCAAUGCUCAGGUAGGCUGUGGCAUUGACACGAUGCUCAAUUGGUACUAAUGGGCCCAAAGCGUGCCAAGAGAAUAUCCCCCACACCAUUACACCAGCACCAGCAGCUUGAACAUUGAUACAAGGCAGGAUGGAUCCACAUUCUCAUGUUGUUGACGCCAAAUUCUGACCCUACCAUCAGAAUGUCGCGGCAGAAAUCGAGACUCAUCAGACCAGGAAACGUUUUUCCAAUCUUCUUUUGUCCAAUUUUGGUGAGCUUGUGCUAAUUGUAGCCUCGUUUUCCUAUUCUUUGCUGUCAGGAGUGACACCCGGUGUGGUCUUCUGCUGCUGUAGCCCAUCCACCUCAAGGUUCGGCGUGUUGUGGGUUUAUAGAUGCUCCUCUGCAUACCUCACAUUUUUAUUUUGCUUUUACCUCCAUUGUACCGAACUGUGACGCCUGAAUAUAUAUAUAUUCAUAUAUAUAUACUAUUCAUAUAUUUAGCAUAGUAUAUACUAAAUUCUAUACUACAUUACCGUAACAUAUAUGUUGUAGCCGAAAUUAAUAACAGGGUCUCUUUCCUCGGUUACAAACUGCACCACACUACAGCUAUAACAUGUAAGAUGGGAACUGGACCUCCUGGCUAAGCCUGGUUUUCUCACUGGGUUUUUAUUUCUGUCUCCCUGAAGAAGUUUCCCCCUUGACCAAUGUUUCUGUGUGGCUUGCUUACUAGGAAACUGCUGAUAUUAACCUUAUAACGUCUUUAGAAAAUUAUGUUAAUACUGGUAUAUAGUUUGGAGUUGGAGUAUAUUACAUACACUGUUCUCUCACUGUUCUAUUACUGUAUGUUCAUAAUUUAGCUUGGAAUGGAGUAAUUCUUAUUAUAUUAUUUAUAUAAGAAAUAACUCCAUGUAACCUCAAAUACUCCAUCCUUAACUGUAUUUAAAACUUUGAGGUUCUUUGCUUUUCUGUGUCGUCUUAUAUUCUAUUACAUGUACAGAUGAUUUGGUAAGAUGAACUAUUGUGAAAAGCACUGUAUAAAUAUAAUUGAAUUGAAUUAAAUUGAUGUUUGUUAAACAUUUUUAAAAGGAUAUUGUACUAAGACAUAAAGUUGGUGAAAUGCUCAAAAAUGUUUUGUAACCCGUAAAUAAUGGAAAGUAAGAAAGCUGGAUAUUGUAUUGUUUUGGAUUAUAAAAAUUAAUGUUUAAAGAAUAUUAUAUUUGUGAAAAUAAAGUUUUGAAAAUAUUGUAAGAAACUUUUUAUAACCUUUGAACACAAAUGUUUAAAAUGAUAACUAUAUUGUUGAUAUAAUUUAAAAAUAACCAUUAAAAGAAUGUUAUAUAGUAUGUGAAAGUUA